rnacentral:rRNA from 1 species
UCGAAAUCGAACGGAAGAACGACCCGCGAACCGUCUUUGCGUAACGAACCGAGCUCGCGAGCAGCAAACGCUCGCGCGUCUCGUGUCGCGUCGGCGCGGUCCUCGAAAGGGCCACGCCGCACCGACAAACUAACAAUGUCAGCACGGAUCGUGCCAAGGAGCUGUACAUGCGAGAGUCGCCGUCCCACGCCCCCGGUCCCCCUCGACUGGGGGCGGGUGACAUGCGCGAUCUCCGCUCUUAGUCUUAAUGACUCUCGGCAACGGAUAUCUCGGCUCUUGCAUCGAUGAAGAACGUAGCGAAAUGCGAUACUUGGUGUGAAUUGCAGAGUCCCGCGAACCAUCAAUUCUUUGAACGCAAGUUGCGCCCGAAGCCAUCCGGCCGAGGGCACGCCUGCCUGGGUGUCGUGAAUCCCCUUGCCCCCGGGCACCCGCACGAGCAUCGUCGCGGAUAUGCCCGGGCGCAGAAUAUGGUCUCCCGUCGGAUCGGCGUGCGCUGCACGUCGUGGGGCGGUUGGCCGAAAAUCGAGCAUUGCGACGUCGGGCUCCACGGCGUUCGGUGGAUCGAACGCGAUUGGCUGCGCCGUGGUCCCGUCAUGCCGCGGGCUCCGGACUACGACGAUUCCCGUG